rnacentral:piRNA from 1 species
UAUAUGCUUUGGAGCUCGAUUAAGUGAA